rnacentral:rRNA from 1 species
UAACGAAUCUUCCGCAAUGCGCGAAAGCGUGACGGAGCAAUGCCGCGUGUAGGAUGAAGCACCUCGGUGUGUAAACUACUGUCAGGGGCUACCAAUCAACUGAGGAGCCCCAAAGGAAGGGCCGGCUAACUUCGUGCCAGCAGCCGCGGUAAUACGAAGGGCCCGAGCGUUGUGCGGAUUCACUGGGCUUAAAGGGUGCGUAGGCGGGAGCGUAAGUGUUUUGUGAAAGCCCACGGCUCAACCGUGGAAUUGCAGGACAUACUGCGCUCCUUGAGGUCGGUAGGGGCUGUCGGAACUCUAGGUGUAGCGGUGAAAUGCGUAGAUAUCUAGAGGAACGCCAAUGGCGAAGGCAGACAGCUGGGCCGAUUCUGACGCUGAGGCACGAAAGCGUGGGGAUCAAACAGGAUUAGAUACCCUGGUAGUCCACGCCGUAAACGAUGCGCACUAGGUUCGGGAGGUUCUGACACCCUCCGAACCGAAAG